rnacentral:rRNA from 1 species
UGGGGAAUAUUGCACAAUGGGGGAAACCCUGAUGCAGCGACGCCGCGUGAACGAAGAAGGUAUUCGUAUCGUAAAGUUCUGUCCUAUGGGAAGAUAAGGACAGUACCAUAGAAGAAAGCUCCGGCUAAAUACGUGCCAGCAGCCGCGGUAAUACGUAUGGAGCGAGCGUUGUCCGGAAUUAUUGGGCGUAAAGGGUACGCAGGCGGUUUAAUAAGUCGAAUGUUAAAGAUCGGGGCUCAACCCCGCAAAGCAUUGGAAACUGAUAAUCUUGAGUAGUGGAGAGGAAAGUGAAAUUCCUAGUGUAGUGGUGAAAUACGUAGAUAUUAGGAGGAAUACCAGUAGCGAAGGCGACUUUCUGGACACAAACUGACGCUGAGGUACGACAGCGUGGGGAGCAAACAGG